UACGUAGGGUGCAAGCGUUAAUCGGAAUUACUGGGCGUAUAGCGUGCGCAGGCGGUUUUGUAAGGCUGACGUGAAAUCCCCGGGCUCAACCUGGGAAUUGCGUUGGAGACUGCAAGGCUAGAAUCUGGCAGAGGGGGGUAGAAUUCCACGUGUAGCAGUGAAAUGCGUAGAGAUGUGGAGGAACACCGAUGGCGAAGGCAGCCCCCUGGGUCAAGAUUGACGCUCAUGCACGAAAGCGUGGGGAGCAAACAGG
rnacentral:rRNA from 1 species